rfam:Bradyrhizobium sp. LTSP885 NODE_25, whole genome shotgun sequence.
CGGCGGGAUACCUCUCCCCACCGAGAGGCAGCUAUCUGGAAGGAUAGAUUAU